rnacentral:rRNA from 1 species
UACGUAGGGUGCAAGCGUUGUUCGGAAUUACUGGGCGUAAAGGGCGCGUAGGCGGCCUUCUAAGUCGAACGUGAAAUCCCCGGGCUCAACCCGGGAACUGCGUCCGAUACUGGGAGGCUUGAAUCCGGGAGAGGGAUGUGGAAUUCCAGGUGUAGCGGUGAAAUGCGUAGAUAUCUGGAGGAACACCGGUGGCGAAGGCGGCAUCCUGGACCGGUAUUGACGCUGAGGCGCGAAAGCCAGGGGAGCAAACGGG